rnacentral:rRNA from 1 species
UUGACCUCAAAUCAGGUAGGACUACCCGCUGAACUUAAGCAUAUCAAUAAGCGGAGGAAAAGAAACUAACAAGGAUUCCCCUAGUAACUGCGAGUGAAGAGGGAAGAGCUCAAAUUUAAAAUCUGGCUGUUCUAGUUAGCAGUCCGAGUUGUAGUUUAGAGAAGUGCUAUCCGCGUUGGCCUGUGCAUAAGUUUCUUGGAAAAGAACAUCAUAGAGGGUGACAAUCCCGUCUUUGGCACAGAUCACCAAGGCUUUUGUGAUACGCUCUCAACGAGUCGUGUUGUUUGGGAAUGCAGCACUAAAUGGGUGGUAAAUUCCAUCUAAAGCUAAAUAUUGGCGAGAGACCGAUAGCGAACAAGUACCGUGAGGGAAAGAUGAAAAGAACUUUGAAAAGAGAGUUAAACAGUACGUGAAAUUGUUGAAAGGGAAACGCUUGAAGUCAGUCGCGUCUUUCAGGGAUCAAGUUGCCUUUAGGUGACCGCACUUCCUGUUGGAUGGGUCAGCAUCAAUUUUGACCGUUGGAUAAAGGCCUGGGUAAUGUGGCAUCUUCGGAUGUGUUAUAGACCUGGGUUGUAUACAAUGAUUGGGAUUGAGGAACUCAGUGUUCGCA